rnacentral:rRNA from 1 species
GACGAACGCUGGCGGCGUGCUUAACACAUGCAAGUCGAGCGGUAAGGCCCUUUCGGGGGUACACGAGCGGCGAACGGGUGAGUAACACGUGGGUGACCUGCCCUCAGCUCUGGGAUAAGCCUGGGAAACCGGGUCUAAUACUGGAUAUGACUCCAUGACGCAUGUUGUGGGGUGGAAAGCCUUGGUGCGGCUGAGGAUGGGCCCGCGGCCUAUCAGCUUGUUGGUGGGGUGAGGCCUACCAAGGCGACGACGGGUAGCCGGCCUGAGAGGGCGACCGGCCACACUGGGACUGAGACACGGCCCAGACUCCUACGGGAGGCAGCAGUGGGGAAUCUUGCGCAAUGGGCGAAAGCCUGACGCAGCGACGCCGCGUGAGGGAUGACGGCCUGGUUGUAAC